AUUGAACGCUGGCGGCAUGCCUUACACAUGCAAGUCGAACGGUAACGGGCCUUCGGGUGCCGACGAGUGGCGAACGGGUGAGUAAUACAUCGGAACGUGCCCGAUCGUGGGGGAUAACGAGGCGAAAGCUUUGCUAAUACCUCAUACGAUCUACGGAUGAAAGCAGGGGACCGCAAGGCCUUGCGCGGGCGGAGCGGCCGAUGGCAGAUUAGGUAGUUGGUGGGAUAAAAGCUUACCAAGCCGACGAUCUGUAGCUGGUCUGAGAGGAUGAUCAGCCACACUGGGACUGAGACACGGCCCAGACUCCUACGGGAGGCAGCAGUAGGGAAUUUUGGACAAUGGGCGCAAGCCUGAUCCAGCCAUGCCGCGUGCAGGAUGAAGGCCUUCGGGUUGUAAACUGCUUUUGUACGGAACGAAAAGCCUUCUUUUAAUACAGGAGGGUCAUGACGGUACCGUAAGAAUAAGCACCGGCUAACUACGUG
rnacentral:rRNA from 1 species